GUGUCAGCCGCCGCGGUAAUACAGAGGGUGCAAGCGUUAAUCGGAAUUACUGGGCGUAAAGGGUGCGUAGGUGGUUAGAUAAGUUAGGUGUGAAAGCCCCGGGCUUAACCUGGGAAUUGCGCCUAAUACUGUUUGACUUGAGUACUGUAGAGGAAGGUGGAAUUUCCAGUGUAGCGGUGAAAUGCGUAGAUAUUGGAAGGAACAUCUGUGGCGAAGGCGACCUUCUGGACAGAUACUGACACUGAGGCACGAAAGCGUGGGGAGCAAACAGGAUUAGAUACCCUGGUAGUCC
rnacentral:rRNA from 1 species